AUGUGUUGCAGUGCGGAAAUCGGCUGAAUAAUGCAGGCCCCACAUGGGUUGAGGAUCAGGCGGCCACAGCUAACGGGCAUUAUCCUGAGAUUCAAGAUGUUCACCUCGGAACUGAAACUAGUUCUUCUCCCCAGGGAGGAGCGGGACGAUUUCUGUGCACAGGCAGGGCAGAUGGAGAAGGGCCGCGAGAAAAGGCCCUGCUGGUGCUGAGUGCAUGAAAAGCAAGAAUUACAGCCACGAAGAGGCCUCUUAGCACCUUCUGCUCUGCAAUAAAGACCCGGAGACCCCAUCUGGGACCCCAUCCUCCUCUCCAGGAUACCGGAGCUGCCACCGCUGUCCUGGAGGGCAAAAAACCUGCAGAGCUGCUACAAUCUUUCCCAGGCAAGAGAUUUGUAGGGGAAGCAAUAUGUAAGUAACAUUCUUAUUUGAAGUUCCCGUUGAAAUCGGAAGAAUGACUAAUCCACAACUCAGUCAAACUUGAAGUGCCUGGCUUACAUUCAAGUGCCUCGACUUUCCUGUCUCCUGGAACGGGUCUGUGGCGCAGAAGCAGCAGCUCUGGGCGAUAAGCGCCGAACCAUUUAGAGGGGCAUGGAAAACGCUCCCGUCUUGCGCUCUGUGCGGUUACAGAAGCGGCAGCAGCAUGACUCAGCAAGAUCCUGACUGGCACGCGGGGCCUACGUCACUGAAUUCGACAGUCCGAAAACCAUUCGAACAUUCCGAUAGUCUGGAGGAUGCGGAGCGCUGUUUACACAGCGAUAUUAUUUAUUGAUUUAUUCAUUCAUUCGAUUUCAAUACGGCCUUCCAAAAAUGGCUCAGGGUGGUUUACACAGCGAAAUAAAUAAAUAAGAUGGAUCCCUGUCCCCAAAGGGCUCACAAUCUCAAAUAAAAGUGGAUAGAUAAACGUGGAGAGACAAAACACAAAAAAGUGGCACGGUGAAUGUAUGAGAUGUAAGACCUUGUA